AUUUGUUUUUUAAUUAAAGACCUGUAUGAAAGACCACACGAGAAUCACACUGUCUCCUUUCUUCAAUCAGUGAAACUAAUCUCCUCGUGCAAAAGCGAGAAUAACCUUAUAAGACGAAAAGACCCUGUGGAGCUUCAAACACCCAACACCUGUUGAAAUAACCCCUAUUUCUACCCUCCUAUAACAGUCUGAUUGUGAGUUUUCGGUUGGGGUGACCAUGGGGAAAAAAUAAACCCCCAAGAUGAACCAGAAUUUUCUUUAAUUUAGAGCCACAACUCUACAUAUCAGAACACUGACAUAAAUUGACCCUUCUUGAUCAACGAACCAAGUUACCCCAGGGAUAACAGCGCAAUCUACUUUAAGAGCACGUAUCGACAAGUAG
rnacentral:rRNA from 1 species